AUCCAGCUGACAAGUCCCAAAUAGGACGAAAUGCGCAUCCUAGAU
rnacentral:hammerhead_ribozyme from 1 species